rnacentral:rRNA from 1 species
UAGCUCACUGGUCGAGUCGGCCUGCGCGGAAGAUGUAACGGGGCUAAACCAUGCACCGAAGCUGCGGCAGCGACACUAUGUGUUGUUGGGUAGGGGAGCGUUCUGUAAGCCUGCGAAGGUGUACUGUGAGGUAUGCUGGAGGUAUCAGAAGUGCGAAUGCUGACAUAAGUAACGAUAAAGCGGGUGAAAAGCCCGCUCGCCGGAAGACC